GGCUGCACCGGCGGCGGCGGCACCACACAAACAAGGACGCUGAUUGGGCAGCUGCCAAGCGCCUCGGCUCCGCCUUACCCACACGCCACGACGCCCAUUGGGCGGCCUAAGCCGGCCACCCCGCCCUCUUCUUCUCGGCCAUACCAAUAGAAGACAGGAUGCCGGGACUUCACCCCACCUUUGAAGAUUCAAUGCAUUCUAUGCUGUCUGAAAGUCCAUCCUUCAAGGGCUUUGAGGAAACAUGAAAACCAUGGUAGAGGAAGAUACCAACAAGGUCUGAGAAAAAAACCUUUCAACAAAAUCAAAAUCAGGCCAUGGAGGGGGACUUUCAAUCUGGAGUGCUCAAGCUUUAAGGAAGACAGCCUGUCUCACCAGUCCUACCCACCUGUCUGGGAGCUGCCUGCCUCCUGAUGUGCUGAUACCUCCUCCUGCUGCUGCCGCUGCUGCUGC